rnacentral:rRNA from 1 species
UACAGAGGGUGCGAGCGUUGUCCGGAAUCACUGGGCGUAAAGGGCGCGUAGGCGGUGACUUAAGCGUGUGGUGAAAGCUCGGGGCUCAACCCUGAGUCGGCCAUGCGAACUGGGUCACUUGAGCAUGUCAGAGGCAGGCGGAAUUCCACGUGUAGCGGUGAAAUGCGUAGAGAUGUGGAGGAACACCGAUGGCGAAGGCAGCCUCCUGGGCCAACACUGACGCUCAUGCACGAAAGCGUGGGGAGCAAACAGG